rnacentral:rRNA from 1 species
UGGGGAAUUUUGCACAAUGGGGGAAACCCUGAUGCAGCGACGCCGCGUGAUUUAGAAGGCCUUCGGGUUGUAAAAAUCUUUUCUAUGGGAAGAAAAUGACAGUACCAUAGGAAUAAGGACCGGCUAAUUACGUGCCAGCAGCCGCGGUAAUACGUAAGGUCCGAGCGUUGUCCGGAAUCAUUGGGCGUAAAGGGUACGUAGGCGGGUAAGGAAGUUAGAAGUGAAAUCCUAUAGCUCAACUAUAGUAAGCUUUUAAAACUGCUCAUCUUGAGGUAUGGAAGGGAAAGUGGAAUUCCUAGUGUAGCGGUGAAAUGCGCAGAUAUUAGGAGGAAUACCGGUGGCGAAGGCGACUUUCUGGCCAUAACCUGACGCUGAGGUACGAAAGCGUGGGUAGCAAACAGG